rnacentral:misc_RNA from 1 species
AAGACUAUAGACCUGCGGAGUACCUGCGGAGGGAUCAUUAAAGAGAAAACUGCCCUUUGGGUAGAUCUCCCACCCUUUGUUUACCUUACCUUUGUUGCUUUGGCAGGCCCGUCUUCUGACCACCGGCUUUAGCUGGUCCGUGCCUGCCAGAGGACCCCAAACUCUUAAUUUUAAGUUGUCCGAGUCUUAUAAAAUAGUAAAAACUUUUAGCAAUGGAUCUCUAGAUCGGAAGAGCACACG